rnacentral:rRNA from 1 species
GACGAACGCUGGCGGCGUGCUUAACACAUGCAAGUCGAACGAUGAAGUUCCUUCGGGAAUGGAUUAGUGGCGAACGGGUGGGGAACACGUGAGAAACCUGCCUUUCAUUUUGGGAUAACUCCGGGAAACCGGGGCUAAAACCGAAUACUCCGUCUCGGCGGCAUCGCUGAGCCGGGAAAAGAUUUUGAUGAAAGAUGGUCUCGCGGCCUAUCAGCUAGUUGGUGAGGUAAUGGCUCACCAAGGCAACGACGGGUAGCCGGCCUGAGAGGGCGACCGGCCACACUGGGACUGAGACACGGACCAGACUCCUACGGGAGGCAGCAGUGGGGAAUAUUGGGCAAUGGGCGCAAGCCUGACCCAGCGACGCCGCGUGAGGGAUGAAGGCCUUCGGGUUGUAAACCUCUUUCAGUAGGGAAGAAGCGAAAGUGACGGUACCUAAAGAAGAAGCACCGGCUAACUAUGUGCCAGCCGCCGCGGUAA